UGGGGAAUUUUGGACAAUGGGCGAAAGCCUGAUCCAGCAAUGCCGCGUGUGUGAAGAAGGCCUUCGGGUUGUAAAGCACUUUUGUCCGGAAAGAAAUCCUUGGCUCUAAUACAGUCGGGGGAUGACGGUACCGGAAGAAUAAGCACCGGCUAACUACGUGCCAGCAGCCGCGGUAAUACGUAGGGUGCAAGCGUUAAUCGGAAUUACUGGGCGUAAAGCGUGCGCAGGCGGUUUGCUAAGACCGAUGUGAAAUCCCCGGGCUCAAACCUGGGAACUGCAUUGGUGACUGGCAGGCUAGAGNAUGGCAGAGGGGGGUAGAAUUCCACGUGUANCAGUGAAAUGCGUAGAGAUGUGGAGGAAUACCGAUGGCGAAGGCAGCCCCCUGGGCCAAUACUGACGCUCAUGCACG
rnacentral:rRNA from 1 species